GCUUUACUGAGCCAUUGCAGCAUCAUCUGCCUGAGCAAGGGAGUUCCAGUUAAAUGUCUUCUCUCUACCUGACUUUGUCUUGUUCUCUGUUCCAGCAGCGGCUGCAGGAAGCGCAUCUCUGAGAACUUGGCGCUGAGUGAUGAAGGCAAGACAAAGACCAUAGAGCCAUUUGGUGCAUCCCUGCCGCUGUCACUCCAUAUCCUGGACUUGCAGUGAAAGGAGUUUGAAGCCUCCGUCCUAGAUGCGCAUCCGUUUGGGAUGCUUCUCUCAUUGAAGGAGAGCAGACGUCUCAAAUAAAUGGAUGGCUUAAUGGACCGUCUUGCUGGGCCCUACGUAAGGACAGCGGUCAGAGACUAAACUGGGAGCAGGGUCAGGUGGAGAAAGUGGCAUCACCAGCUGUCACCAGGCCUUGAAGGCAUCCAGAUCUGGAAAGGCCCCAGGCAUUCAGAUCCAAUAGGAAAAACCAUGGAUGAUCCAAAGUAGUGAUGACCUCACCCCAUCCAGAUAGCCGUCCACAUGGAGGAAAGAGUCCAGAGCAAAAAGGCCCUGCUCCUCCCAUCAUGGUCUGCCCUAUAUAUCAUCCUGUCCAGAAGCUCUACGCCAUAAUGGUGUGAAAGAGGCUUUGCUUUGGAGCUAAGCCCAGCUGAGUUUCAAUUUUGGAUUCUCUGGAUCACUACAAGAACGAGCAAGGACAUGCCGGGGACCCUCCAUGGACCCCAGUUUCCUCACCUGUAAACUGGAGGUAAUAACACACACGCCGCAUCAUGGGGUUACAUAGUGUUUAAUACAAUGGCUGGCACAUAGUAGGAAAUCAAUAAACACUUGUUCCCACUCUAUCUUCAAAUCACUUUAAUUAGUUAUUUGAGAAAUAGUCAAUGAAUUUUUUUAAAUAGGCUGUAACUAUGUAAGGUCACCUGGAGGAUAGUGGUUUAAAUUUAAAUUUUAAAUUUAAAGCCAAUUAAUCAUUGUCGUGGGUCUUCCCUCUCCUUGAUGCCUCCCUAAGUAGAGGCAUCUUUUUCCCUACAGUUGGCAAAACCGAGAAGAGGCUGUUUGGG
rnacentral:lncRNA from 9 species